UACGUAGGGCGCAAGCGUUGUCCGGAAUCACUGGGCUUAAAGGGCGCGUAGGCGGGCUGCCGCGUCUGGGGUGAAAUCCUCCGGCUCAACCGGGGAAGGGCCUCGGGUACGGGCGGCCUCGAGGGGGGUAGGGUCGUGCGGAACUGUGGGUGGAGCGGUGAAAUGCGUUGAUAUCGUGAGGAACACCAGAGGCGAAGGCGGCUUCCUGGACAAUUGCUGACGCUCAGGCACGAAAGCGUGGGGAGCAAAAGGG
rnacentral:rRNA from 1 species